rnacentral:rRNA from 1 species
GCAGUCGAACGCGAAAGCGGGGCAACCCGCAAGUAGAGUGGCGAACGGGUGAGUAAUACAUCGGAACAUAUCCAGUAGCGGGGGAUAACCUAUCGAAAGAUGGACUAAUACCGCAUACGAUCUACGGAUGAAAGCAGGGGACCGCAAGGCCUUGCACUAUUGGAGUGGCCGAUGUCGGAUUAGCUAGUUGGUGGGGUAAAAGCUUACCAAGGCGACGAUCCGUAGCUGGUCUGAGAGGACGAUCAGCCACACUGGAACUGAGACACGGUCCAGACUCCUACGGGAGGCAGCAGUGGGGAAUUUUGGACAAUGGGCGCAAGCCUGAUCCAGCCAUGCCGCGUGAGUGAAGAAGGCCUUCGGGUUGUAAAGCUCUUUCGGUGAAGACGAAACGGUUCAUGCUAAUAACGUGAACUAAUGACGGUACUCACAGAAGAAGCACCGGCUAACUACGUGCCAGCAGCCGCGGUAAUACGUAGGGUGCAGGCGUUAAUCGGAAUUACUGGGCGUAAAGCGUGCGCAGGCGGUUUGCUAAGACAGGUGUGAAAUCCCCGGGCUUAACCUGGGAAUUGCGCUUGUAACUGGCAAGCUAGAGUGUGGCAGA